GGCGCAUACAUCUAGGAGCGGCCGAGAGGGAGAGGGCCGCGCCGCAUCUAGGAGAUGGAGAGGAAGGGUCUGGGCAUUAAGUGUGGAGAGGGAGGAGUUGAAUGAUGAGAAAAAUGAGCUAGGGUUUCUAACUUCUCACCUUAAUAUACUUUGAAGUUGUUACCGGGCCGAGAUAGACCACGUUGUGGGCUCGGCCAUGAUUUAUGGAGGCAAGCAUUUUUUUAAGAGGUCCGCCUUUGAAAAUAGCUUAAUUUUUAGGCGGACAUCUUAAAAGGCCCACCUCCAUAAAUACAUUUAAAGAGGCGAUUGUUUUUUAACCGCCUCCGCAAAUUAAUUUUACAAGGUGGGCAAAUUUAACGCCUCCGUAAAUACAUGAAAGCGACCGCCUCCAAUCGGUAGGCAUUUUAUGAGGCGGGCAAAUUAUAAGACCGUUUCGGUUAAUAAAAGGACACUGUCUCCUAAAAUUAUCUGUGUCAUAGUGCGUGCCUUGCAUGAAUGAUGACGCACAAUAGUGUACACUAGUGUUAACCCAAUUAUGAUGAUGAGCGUACCCGUCAGUGAGGAAAAGCAGGAUAACUUUUUAAAAAGAUCAACUGCCCGAAUAGCGCUCAUGCUAUUCUAUUCUUUAUAGCUUAGCGAUUGGUGCAUCAGUCGACGACUGUCUAUGGCUCUAUUAAUUGGUAUACAAAAACCGUGUUUAUAUAUACCUGGCCUUUAGCCACAUAUUGGUUAUUUCUUUUGUUUUUUUAUUUUUAAUGGAGUUAGUUAUUUCUUGCGCCAAGUUGAUCGGGUCACGUACAGAAUGUACAAAGUAUUGGUUCAAAAAAAAAUAAUGUGUGAUGACGCGCGUGGCAGGUGUUUGAUGCGUCCACGCAGUACAAUUGUAACUAUAUUCACAUGUCAUUACCCGACAUUAGCUACAAACAGUAUAACAGUACAAACUUGACCUCCAGUUGGUUCUUUAUAAAUCUUUGUCCUGCUUUCCUCCAAGACAAGACCGGCACCACGCAUAUGUCUCCACCUGCUAACCCAAGGGCCAGCUUAAUGAUUUUGACAUUAUAAGGCUGUAAACCCAAACUUAAAAUGGGUUUCCAACAUAAUACCUAUAGUUUUCAACAGAGUACUAUACAGAAGAUCUAUUUUGGGUAUGUAUAACCCAAAUUUGGGUAUAUCUUCUCUCAUCGAGAUCUAUUUUGUAGAAAGUGUUAUUUUUUAGGUCUUGUUGUUGGAGAAUACUAAAAAUAGGUGUGGAACUUUUUACCUGUAGCGCUACCUAAAGGACAAAUAGAUCUUAUAUUAUAUUUUGGAUGACGAUUGUUGAAGAUAGUCUAAAUAAGAAGAUAAUAGGGGCGCAGCUGCACGUGCGCGCGUUGCCGGCCGGCCUUCGUUCUAUGUAAAUUCAACUUGACAUAUAUAGGACGCAUCAAACAAAUGCAGCUCUCUUCCAAAAAAAACACACCUAAUGCAGCUAGUAAAAAUAAACAUGCAUGCGUAUGCAUGUCUAUAUAUAGCAGC
rnacentral:lncRNA from 1 species